rnacentral:rRNA from 1 species
GACGGAGGGUGCUAGCGUUGUUCGGAAUCACUGGGCGUAAAGGGCGCGUAGGCGGCCUUGCAAGUCGGUUGUGGAAAGCCCGGGGCUCAACCCCGGAGGUGCGGCCGAGACUGCAGGGCUGGAGGCCGGAAGAGGAGGGUGGAAUACCCAGUGUAGAGGUGAAAUUCGUAGAUAUUGGGUGGAACACCGGUGGCGAAAGCGGCUCUCUGGUCCGGACCUGACGCUGAGGCGCGAAAGCGUGGGGAGCAAACAGG